rnacentral:rRNA from 1 species
AUUGAACGCUGGCGGCAUGCCUUACACAUGCAAGUCGAACGGUAACAGGUCUUCGGAUGCUGACGAGUGGCGAACGGGUGAGUAAUACAUCGGAACGUGCCCGAUCGUGGGGGAUAACGAGGCGAAAGCUUUGCUAAUACCGCAUACGAUCUACGGAUGAAGGCGGGGGAUCUUCGGACCUCGCGCGGACGGAGCGGCCGAUGGCAGAUUAGGUAGUUGGUGGGAUAAAAGCUUACCAAGCCGACGAUCUGUAGCUGGUCUGAGAGGAUGAUCAGCCACACUGGGGCUGAGACACGGCCCAGACUCCUACGGGAGGCAGCAGUGGGGAAUUUUGGACAAUGGGCGAAAGCCUGAUCCAGCCAUGCCGCGUGCAGGAUGAAGGCCUUUGGGUUGUAAACUGCUUUUGUACGGAACGAAAAGCCUCUUUCUAAUAAAGAGGGGUCAUGACGGUACCGUAAGAAUAAGCACCGGCUAACUACGUG